rnacentral:tRNA from 1 species
GAGGGUAUAGCUCAAGUGGCUGAAUGCAUGCUUAGCAUGCAUGAGGUCCUGGGUUCAAUCCCCAGUACCUCCU